CAAGUAAGAAUUCGGAACUGCUGUCAGAAAUUACAUUAUAAUAAUUAUCAUCAAUAUCAUUUUCUUUAUCACUAUUAUCAUUGUGAUCAUUGUUGUCAGAAUUACAAAUACACCUCUGUUCCAUAAUUUUGCUAAAUGGAAAUUUAAAAUACAUACACUUACAGAGUCAAGCAUAUUUUUCAUGUACAAAGAGGAUUAAUGAAGAGAUGAUGGGGAAGAAAGUGUAAAUCUAUAGAAUGUAUUCAUGUUUUGAGGUAUAAUGUGAAAAUUUAGCUUUGAAAGAAAGCAAUAAAAUUUGCGUUUUGUAAUUUAUACCUAGUUCGACACCCUCUGGGCCAGGACAAGGAACAGAUGCUGUCAAUACAAAUUGCAUCACUUUCAAAUUUAACAUAUUAUCAUCACAGAAUGCUACUUUUUUCAGUCUGAACUUGUAUCCUAGGUAUAUGAAAUAUUAUCUGUUCAUAGAACUUUUUCCCAAUUUGAAUAUAAAUGUACACCAGACCUGUGAUGGAUGAUUAUAGACCUCAUUUUCCUUCUCAGAAAAAAAUAAUUAGUAUUUCUCUUUUGCAAAAAGCAGGAACCAUUCAAAAUUUUACCUAAGAUAGGCAAACUUGUGAUUUAUAAUGUAUAUGUGUUUGUGUAUAAUAUUGAAUUACAGUAGAUUAAGCAGAGUAGUGUGCAUGCAUUUUACACAGCAUUUAAUUGAUAUUCAAAAUAUUUCUUAGAUGAAUGAAUGAAUGCACUCUGAAAGCAUUAGUCUACUUCAGCAGUUUUUGUUAGCAAUUAAGAGAUUGUUCUCCCUGAAGACAUUUAUACUUAAUGUAUAUUUUAAAAAUAGUAUGACACAUUUUUUCAAAUGAAAAGUGUUGUAUGUAUGUGUACAAUUACUUUUUUUAUUAGCUUCCUAAAUAUGAUUCUGCCCAAUAUUUAAUUGCUUCAGUCUUGUAUUCAAAACAUGAAUGAAACAUUCUAAUUUGACAUCCAGGUUUUCAAAAUAACUAAUAGGAAACUUGAAGUAAAGCAACACCUCUCUAAGCUUUGAAUCAUUUUCUACCAAUACUAUUUUCUUAAAAUUAUGUAUUUUAAAAAAUUAAUGGACAGGUAAACAUGGAGCUAAAAUGUUCCCUUUGGAUUUGCAGGCAAUUAUUUCGACUUGCAUCAUGAGAAAAUAAAACACCUUCACACAUGAAAAUGAUUAAGUUUGAAACAAUUGAAAUUUAUGAAGUAUACAUUAAAAAUAAAUGUUCUCGUUCCUCAGAGAACAAAACAUUUUGUUGGUUCCUGGAGUUUCUCUUUCUAAAUUAAGGUUGCUACCAUUUAACUGUCUCAUUUAUUCACUUACAUAUGGGAUUCUUUGAGAAAUCUAAGAUUCACUGAUGUCUUAACAAAUACAGGUGGGUACAUUAUGGAUGAGCGCACAUGUUGAAAUCUAAUAUAGUUUCACUUGGAACUUAUAUUAGAUUCAUUUAGUUUUGGAUACCAAAAAAUAAAUCUUUUAAUUCAUGUCUCUUCAUUUCCCCCAUAUAUUUGCCCCUUCUAUAUAUGACUGACAUAGAAGAUGAAGCUGAAAAUUUACAAUUUCAAGAUAUUCUUAGAAGAUAUCUGGUCUACUUUUUUGAGCUGUUAACAUUUUUCUGAGGUAUAGAACCUUGGGGAAACUUCCACAGCAUAGAAGACAGGAAAACAUGCACAUCAUAUUGUUUGCACUAAGAAGUAAAUUGGGACUAGUCAGCAUGCAUCAAUAGGAUAGUUAACUUUUCUUGGGAAGAAAUGAAGUGGAAAUAUGGUUGCUGCCUAAGAAGUAAUAAUAGGAGAUACAGGAAGCAGUUUGAAAUGGAAUAGAAACAACUUGUGAUAGAGGACAGAAGCCAUAUCAGAAGUCACGGAAUUAAUUAUGUGAGUCUGGGAUCAGUGAGAGAUGAAAAUUGAGAAGAAAGAAAACUGUAAGACUCUGUGACUUGAAAAAUCCAGGAGAGACAGGCAACUGAAUUGCUACAUUGUAUUUUCUCUUAAACCCAAGAAAAUUCCCUGUGUUAGAACAACUUGAAUGAAAAGAAGAAUAAACAGGUGUCCAACAAUAACAUUUCCAAGAUAGGAAGAAAGCGAGGGUUCAAAACGGAGUUAUAUAUAAUGUGUCUCACCAAUCACUGAAGGGGACAAGUCAUCCAUGUAAGAAAUUAACUCAACCCAGGGGAGAGGACAUAUUCCUGUAAUCUCAGCUACUCAGGAACCUGAAGCAGGAGGAUAAUUUCAGGGAAGGAAUUGAGACCAGCAUGGGCAACAUAGCAAGAUGUAAAAAAACAAAACAAAACACAAUUUUUUAAUGUUAACUAGGUGUGGUGGCAUGUUCCUGUAGUCCCAGCUACUCAGGAGCAUGAGGCAGGAAGCUUGCUUGAGCCCCAAAGUUCAAGGGUGCAGUGAGCUAUGGUUGCACUUCUGCAUUCCAGCCUAGGUGACAGAGAAAGAUCCCCUCUCAAAAAACUUAAUUUAUUGUCAAAUAUACUUUUGCAUAACUGUGUGCAAAUUAUGUAGCUGUAAAAAUAAGGCUAUGAUGUAAUUAUGCCCUGAAACUGUUUGUUUGUUGCUGUUUUUGGUUUUGUUUUAUUUUUGCUUGGUAUUGGUGAUGUAUGGAGUAAUGUGUUCACUGGUCUUUGAGGUAUAAUCAUACCUUUGCCAGAUGGAGAACAGUUGAGCAGUAUAUUCCAGGAAUAGGGAAUAUUAUGUCUAAAACAUUACAUAGUCAAGGAAUUACAGCAAAGUUUUGUUUAUAAAGAGGAGAGGAAAAAAAAAGAAUGAUACAAGGAAUAUAAAUGGGGCGGGCUCUGUAUGUACGCAUUUUUAGAAUAUAAAAUGUUUUUCUAUAGAAAAUAAAGAAACCAUGAUAUGAAUAUAAUAUGUGGGGAGCAUAAACAUGUCUGCAGUUUAUUAAUAUUUAUUUUUAAUAAACAUUUCUUUGAAUGCA